AUUGAACGCUGGCGGCAUGCCUUACACAUGCAAGUCGAACGGCAGCACGGGAGCAAUCCUGGUGGCGAGUGGCGAACGGGUGAGUAAUAUAUCGGAACGUGCCCAGUCGUGGGGGAUAACGUAGCGAAAGCUACGCUAAUACCGCAUACGAUCUAUGGAUGAAAGCGGGGGAUCGCAAGACCUCGCGCGAUUGGAGCGGCCGAUAUCAGAUUAGGUAGUUGGUGAGGUAAGGGCUCACCAAGCCGACGAUCUGUAGCUGGUCUGAGAGGACGACCAGCCACACUGGGACUGAGACACGGCCCAGACUCCUACGGGAGGCAGCAGUGGGGGAAUUUUUGGACAAUGGGCGCAAGCCUGAUCCAGCAAUGCCGCGUGCAGGAUGAAGGCC
rnacentral:rRNA from 1 species